CUCUGUAGCCCCGCCCCAGCCCUCAGCUCUCAAGUGGGCUUUGCCUUUUCACGCACGUCCGGUGUAGGCCUGCCCGCCAUUAAAAGCCGGAUGGGCCUGAACGUCGACGCUUCCUGCGCCUGGGCGCGUCCUAGCUCUCUCUCACCACAGUGGCCCAAAUGGGGUGGCUUUGAAGAACUCCGCGCCAUGUUUUCCCUCUCUGUGCGCUUGAGGAGCAGGAACAGGCCAAGAGAACACAAAACUGCUCAACCCUGCGGGGCUGAAUAUUCCUUGAAGAGUCCAAGGAAGCUGUCCCCGGGGACGGGCGAAGGGCUGGCCGUGACGUGGUCCCUUCUGUCACGCAUCCCAUUGGAUCAUGUGACUCCUGAAACCCACGAGUAGGAGGCAGUAGCUUAAGAAGAUUUAAGUAUUUGUCCCAGAGCAACACAAGUUGACCACAGUGCAAGAGAAGUGGUGCGAAAUGCAGUUGGGUAGGGACUGGAUUGGUGAGACCCUCUUCCACCCCUUCCUGGCCUAGGAGUUGGUUGGCAGAAAAUCCCCAGUUCUCAUAUGGCGCUCGGGGGAUGCAGAAGAUGGCUAAAGAGGAAGAGGCAGCAGUACUCCUGACCGGAUGGGAGUGACCAAAGCUCGAGGAUCAGUCCUCACACACUGGUGAUGUUGAGACCUCAGACCACUCAUUAUAAUCUGCACAAAAGACUUGGUUGUGCCUGAAAACUAGGAGACUCGUCAUACCUCUACUACUGUCAAGAGAAAGCUUGCAGAAAAGAAAAAAGACAAGGAAGACUCUUCAUUCACAUCUUGCCUGCACCCAGAUGGCUCCAGCAGGGUGAAGAAGGAGAAUGAGAACAAGGAGAAACUCUGGAAGAUUUCAAGCAAAAGAGACUAAGGAUUAAUUGAACAUUUUCUGCACUCCAUUGAAAUGGAUCAUGGGAAUCUGGAUCUAGGUAUUCCUACUGUUUCUUAGUUGCUCUGUUUCUGACCCUGGGGUAACCAGGAACCUCACCGAGAUCAAGCACCUACCUUGCCAUUUACAAUCUCUAAUCCAAUGGCAUCUACUUUGGCGCUGCUGAUCCCCAGAAGGACACCGUUUUCAGAGGUGGUACGAAAUUCCAGUGUGAUGUUUACAUCUGAUCGGACUUUGUAGCCUUCCUUCACUGAAGAAUACAAAGAUUCAUACACAGGGGCAGCAACCGGCCUUCCUCAGAAGGGGUAAGAACAAACCACAGGGACCCCACUGAACCACAUCUGAAGCAUCGGUUGUGCACAAGGCCUGCAUUCCUGUUCUCUGCCUUCUCACCGCUGAGGAAUACCUCCCUGUUCAUCUCUCUGAGAUGCCUAAUGAAGACUUCAGAACAAUACCCACCUCUUUCUGACAGCCAGCUGAUUGAAAGGCAACACGAAAUGGCUGCUUUGUGAGAGGCCAAACUGGUUUGCAUCUGCCAGGAAGUCAUGAAUUACACUUGUUCUCCUUCCCUUCACUCUGUAGCCCUUGCAACAUGUCCCGUUUAUAUGUACCCUCUUGGCACUUUCUGAGGACAUGGCUGUGAAUGGCACAGAAAUAUUUCUGCCUUGUGGAUUUCCCAGCCUCAUCGCUUUCAGGAGGAAGAAGACGAAUCAAUUGUGUAUUCAUAAACAGAGAACUGGGUGAAUAAAUUAAUCAACUGUACAAAUGAGUAAACCAAGGCUCUGACAUUAGAAUUGUGCUGAAACCCAAUGUACUUUUAUUCUUUUACAUUUCAAGGACUCUUAAGAGGUUCUUUCACAGAGGACACGGUGACCCUCAAAGAUCCAAGUCCUUGUUUGAGGUCUCAAGGCAAAGUCAGCCACGCAGCUAGGAGGGGAGCUUCAGCCUCCUGAUGCCCCCCGCAAACUCUGGUUCCAUACCCGCCCCCCCCGACCCCCACAGAUCAGCAUAGCAUCUGACCCACCAGCACUCCUACCUACGCAGAGGAUGACUGAGGAAGAAAUAACUGCCUGUGGGCACAUGUCACUUCUCUUCCUCCUCAUGAGCUCCACAGAGGAAACAGACUAAGAGGAGUUCAUUAGACAGUCAUUGUUUUAGGAGGAACUGUUAAUAAUCUGAAGCUGUAAGGAGCCCAGCUAUAAAGGUUCCUUGAAAGCGGUGAACUCAAGACAACAAGAAACUUGCAUCACAAAAUUUCUGUUCCCUGGAAUUCAUGUCACAAGUGUAUUUGACCUCUGAUGUUUACUGAUAGUCCUAUAGAGCUAAUGUUCAAUGGUUUUUGUUUUGUUUUUUUUUUCUUGUUUUUUUAAUUCUAGGAUUACCAGAUCUAUCCAUCAUUCUAAUCCAGUAAAAUCCAUGUGGGUGACUAUUAUGAUAGAACAAUGGGAUUCACUUUUUAUUCAGAAACUUAGGAUUUUAGGCAAUCUCAAACAGCAGAGUUAGCAGAUCAUUGUCAGUACUCAGCAAUAAAAGAUUUCUAGGAAGUGCAGAAACAUGUUGACGCUCAGUUACACUUACUCCAUAUUAAAGAUCAGGUUUUUGAUGCAGCCAUGGAAUGAUCUUCUCAUCUUGAGCACUGAGUUCCCCUCCUCCUCUGGAAU